UAGGGAAUCUUCGGCAAUGGACGAAAGUCUGACCGAGCAACGCCGCGUGAGUGAAGAAGGUUUUCGGAUCGUAAAACUCUGUUGUUAGAGAAGAACAAGGACGUUAGUAACUGAACGUCCCCUGACGGUAUCUAACCAGAAAGCCACGGCUAACUACGUGCCAGCAGCCGCGGUAAUACGUAGGUGGCAAGCGUUGUCCGGAUUUAUUGGGCGUAAAGCGAGCGCAGGCGGUUUCUUAAGUCUGAUGUGAAAGCCCCCGGCUCAACCGGGGAGGGUCAUUGGAAACUGGGAGACUUGAGUGCAGAAGAGGAGAGUGGAAUUCCAUGUGGAGCGGUGAAAUGCGUAGAUAUAUGGGGGAACACCAGUGGCGAAGGCGGCUCUCUGGUCUGUAACUGACGCUGAGGCUAGAAAGCGUGGGGAGCAAACAGG
rnacentral:rRNA from 1 species